UACUGCCGAUUUUUUGAUCAAUCAGUGAUGAGGAGGAAGAAGUACCAGUUACUGACGUGGCUCCUCGAACAAGCACGUCACGUACUGUACUUGCCUCAGACACACUAGUUGAAGGAGAAGAAACGUCGCCUCCUCAACAAGACGUCGUCACCACUACUCCGCCAUCAAGCCCCCGAGUCCCUUCACCAAAAAGGGCAAGGGUUGAAAAGAUUGUUGAUCCUGCCCCUCAGUUGGGCAGUUCGUCGACUCUGCUCUUAGAUGAUCCUAUGAUCAAGGAUCUUCUCCGCAUCGGGUCCCAAUUUAUUGGGUACCGUGAAUAUGCCGCCAGAGCCGAAGAAAAACUCUCAGAGGCCAACGAACGUGUCGACGCACUUGCUCAAAAACUCGAGCAAAGUGAGGCGGCUCGCAAGAAAGCUGAACUUGCUGCUAGCAAAGCCAAGGUCGAAGCUGAUGAAGCUAAGGCGAAAGCUGCUGGUGUCGAGGAACUGCAGAAGAAACUUGAGGAUGCGACAGCUGCCUUGGAUGAGCACAAAGCUGCACAAGCUUCUCGUG